rnacentral:misc_RNA from 1 species
UACGGAGGGUGCGAGCGUUGUUCGGAAUUACUGGGCGUAAAGCGUGUGUAGGCGGUGACCGUAAGUCGGGUGUGAAAGCCCAGGGCUCAACCCUGGAACUGCGCUCGAUACUGCGGCACUAGAAUCUGGGAGAGGGGUGUGGAAUUCCUGGUGUAGGAGUGAAAUCCGUAGAGAUCAGGAGGAACACUCGUGGCGAAGGCGACACCCUGGACCAUGAUUGACGCUGAGACACGAAAGCGUGGGGAGCAAACAGG